rnacentral:lncRNA from 1 species
AAGGCUUCGAGGCUGCUCCCAUACGCACUGGUGGAAGGAGAGGCCGCGCUCCCGGCUGAGCACGGUGUCACGGGUGCUGCAGCCCACUGCGGAGCAACUUCGGGUCAUCUUCUUGUUACGUGGGGCCCCACCUUCGGGGUUCCCGCGACAGCAUGAAUCACGACCACUUUAGCUCCGCCCGUUGACUCUGCGGCUACGACCUUUAUUUGUCACGAAAGGCGGGCUUUAGAGGCGCGGGACUUCCACACUUCCUCUCCGAAGGCCCUGCGCCGGUGCCGUAGCCAAUGACAGGCCACGUUGUGUCCCAGCAGCCAAUCGGAAGGGCCUGAGCCUGAAGACGUGCAUUUGACCGCUCCUCCCUCCGCGUUGGAGGCGGAAUAGUGGGUUUUGCUGCAACCGGUUUAUUUUCCUUCUGUUUUCACCCAUUCGGGCACAAUCUGGCGCCAUCGUCCUUCUUGUGAGGCCAAGCCUGAAAAUGCGAAGCAGAGAGGCAGGACCAAAAUUGAGGCGAAUCCGGGAACCUGCCAAUGGGUCUCCGGGUGCGGUCUCUGAAACUGGAGGAUAUCGGGAGGAAAGGCUCUCCGAUGCGGAGAUAAUGGGGAAGCUCUUGGCAUGGUUGGCUGUAGGUAUGUGAUACCGGAGGAGCAGGAGUCAAAUAGGAUACGCCGACUUUUAAUUCAAGGAACCCUUUUCUGAAACACUUUGCCACAAUGAAGGAAAUAAGAUUACAGCCGAAGAUACAUAUUAAGGAAUUGUACUCUCAGAGAUGUUGAGAAAAGAUACAUGGGUCUUGGAAGAUAAUUACUCAAAAUAUGCAGGGAAGGAAUAAAAUUGAAGGGUGUUUUUCUUAGAGAACAUCAUUUGUCAUAUUUAUUUGAUCAAGAAGUUGAAGAUUUAUGUAAUAAGGUAUGGGACUUACACAUUUAUCUUGAUAAAAGAACACAGAAAAGGUCAGGUAUGAGCAGAAAAUUGACAUUUAUUUCAGCCUAAUGUGGAUACUGUACUCUGAAUUAAAAAUUUCUUUUCCUUACUCUUCCAGCUUUUAAAGAUAAGUAUUAUUUCAAAAUAGUAUUUUUUUUAAUUAAUAGAUUCAAUUCAGGAAAGGCAUUGGAGGGGGUGGAGCUUUUAACUUUGACAGUCUCACUCUGUUGCCCAGGCUGGAGUGCAGCGGCGCAAUCUCUGCUCACUGCAAUCUCUGCCUCCUGGGUUCAAAUAGUUAUUGUGGCCCAGCUUCCCAAGUGGCUGGGAUUAGAGGCGCAUGCCACCACACCCAGCUAAUUUUUUUUAUUAAGUAGAGACCAUGUUUUGCCAUGUUGGCCAGACUGGUCUCAAACUUCCAGCCACCAACCUCAGCCUCCCAAAGUGCUGGGAUUAUAGUCAUAAGCCACCACACCUGGCUGUUGGUUAUCUUUUCUUAGAAAUAAUGAUAUAAUCUUUUCAGCACCUGAUAUUCUUAAAGAUCCAGGGUUUACAAAUGACUGUUAGAUAUGCCAAGGAUGACUAGCCUAUAACUUAAGGAACUGUUCAGGAACAGUAGAAAAGAAGGUGAUAGGAAACUGGGAAUCUUAAAUCU